rnacentral:rRNA from 1 species
CCCCUAGACGUUCUGGGCUGCACGCGCGCUACAAUAAUACGCACAGCGAGUAACACCGAGCUCGAAAGGGCAAGGUAAACAAUAGAAAAGGUACUGUAAUGGUUAUAGAUCCUUGUAAUUAUUGAUCUUCAACGAGGAAUUCCUAGUAAGUAUGUGUCAUCAUCACGCACUGAUUACGUCCCUGCCCUUUGUACACACCGCCCGUCGCUCCUACCGAUUGAGUGAGCCGAUGAAACUGCCGGAUGUGGACUAUUCAUAGUCUGCAGAAGAUAUUUGAAUCGUAGCGCUUAGAGGAAGGAGAAGUCGUAACA